rnacentral:rRNA from 1 species
GCUUUUAGCGAGGUACUGCAUGGCUGUCGUCAGCUCGUGUCGUGAGAUGUUGGGUUAAGUCCCGCAACGAGCGUAACCCCUGUUGCUAGUUACCAGCGGAUAAUGCCGGGGACUCUAGCGAAACUGCCUGCGCAAGCAGUGAGGAAGGUGGGGAUGACGUCAAGUCAUCAUGGUCCUUACGCCUAGGGCUGCACACGUGCUACAAUGGCCGGUACAACGAGCAGCCACCUCGCGAGAGGGAGCGAAUCUCUGAAAACCGGUCCCAGUUCGGAUUGGAGUCUGCAACUCGACUCCAUGAAGCAGGAAUCGCUAGUAAUCGCGGAUCAGCAAUGCCGCGGUGAAUCCGUUCCCGGGCNUUGUACACACCGCCCGUCAAGCCAUGGAAGCUGAGAGCACCCGAAGUCCGUGACCCAACCUUUUGGGAGGGAGCGGCCGAAGGUGAGCUCAGUGACUGGGGCUAAGUCGUAACAAGGUAACCA